UACGAAGGGGGCUAGCGUUGUUCGGAAUUACUGGGCGUAAAGCGCACGUAGGCGGAUAUUUAAGUCAGGGGUGAAAUCCCAGAGCUCAACUCUGGAACUGCCUUUGAUACUGGGUAUCUCGAGUAUGGAAGAGGUGAGUGGAAUUCCGAGUGUAGAGGUGAAAUUCGUAGAUAUUCGGAGGAACACCAGUGGCGAAGGCGACUCACUGGACAGGUAUUGACGCUGAGGUGCGAAAGCGUGGGGAGCAAACAGG
rnacentral:rRNA from 1 species